AGAGAAAUAGCUCAGUGGUAGAGUGCUUGCCUUGCAUGCAUAAGACCCUGAGUUCAAUUCCCAGCACUG
rnacentral:tRNA from 1 species